UAUAGGUUCCCAGAGCCAGUUACCAUGGUAAUUGACCCUGAAUUUAAGUUCUCUCUCUUUCUUUGGAUGAUGUUUUUAUACUUUGUCCUGAUUUGCUGCCAAGUUCGUUUUACACUACUGGUACCGCAGCUAAUAGUGAUGUGUCGGCUAUAUGAGCCGGCUCCUUUAAGUGAACGAUGGGAGCCAGCUCCCGUCUGAGAGCCAGCUCCCGUCUGAGAGCCAGGUAGAGCAGAAAUAUUUUUUAAAAUGAUUUCCACGAAUCCUUCAUUAUGGGACAGUGUCCAAGCUAAAUGCAGUUCCUGAGUAUAAUGUUUAAAUAUGCUGUAGGCCUAUCAAGUUUAAAGUUUAAGAGCUCUAAUGUGCGGUUGCCAUUGAGUCGAUCAGCAAUGUUCUGCCAGCAUUCCUCGUUUGCCUUAUUUGCAGCUACAGUAUUGCUUUUUGCUGUAAUGUUUUUUUCAUAUUCUUCAUAGUGUUGUAGUUUGUCAAGCAGGGUAGCAGGGAAAGGACCCAAAUGCAGACAAGUAGGCAGAGCAGGUGCAGAUCAACCAUUUAAUGAUAAACACAAAAAAGGCUUACACCUAUUUCAGGCAGUCCAAUUAACAAUUCAGACAGGGAGCAGGCAAGCAGUCUUGAACAAAAGAAACAAAAUCCAACAGUGGACAGUCAAAAUCCAAAAAUCCACAAACACACAAAGUGCAGGGAACCAACAAACCAGGGCGCUCGACAGUGGUGCAACGUACAACGACGAACUGACCCUGAACAAACAAAAACUCGGACUAAAUACACUUAGGCAGGGGCGAUACCGAGACACAGAUGCAACUAAUCAGGGUGGGGCAAACAAUCAAAACUGGAGGGAAAAGCAGCAUUGUUCAAAUAUUCAUUCUCAGUUAACUUGUAAUCGUUCUGAUAAGAAAUAUCAAAGGGGCCGUAGCAGGUUCACAACAAUUAGCAACUUUUAUAUGUUAGGGAACAAAGUGACUCAAAGGAAAGGAAACAUGUCAGCUGACAUUUCCAAUGACGACUACAUACAAGACAUGUUAUACUGGGAAAGGAGAGUGUCAGUAAAAUGUGCUGAGUGUAAAGUUGUCAGUCGGGGAAUAACACAGGGCUGUGAAUGAGCCCUGUCACUGUGAUCAGGCUCCUCCUUCUGAUCCACCAACUUAGUGUUGAUGAAGACUCAACAGAGAUCACAGCCUUCUUUAUACUCGCUGUAGCUCACAGUUACUCAACACUGCAGACAUGACGCCUCUGUUCAUCUCGGUGUUGCUGGCUGCUGUGUGCCUUGAAUGCAGAGCACAAAAAGACAACGUGCUGCAAGCAAAAGAAGAGGAUGGAGACAACAGCCCCAAAUUCAUACUGAGCAGAAUUAAACUGGACCAAGGGAACACACCAGACGAGUUUAAGGAGAGAUUUUCAUCCACACUGGAUUCCACCUUAAAAUCAGUUCCUCUGAAGAUCCAGAAGCU